AUGUCUCCUGCGGAGAGACCGGCCGUCAGCGCCGCGGGGCCCGGCCUCGGCACCGGCACCGGGACCGGCACCGGGCGGGACUUACGCUUCUGCAGAGCCGCGGGCGCGGAGGGACCUGGAAGAGACCGAAGCGGCAGCUGCAGGAGGGCGGCGUGGGCGGCCCCGGGGAAUCUCCAGGGCAGCGGCUCCGGGACGGGCAUCCCCUGCGGGAAGCGAAGCGGCCCAAGCUGGGUGAGGACACACGGCCCAGCAACCCCCCAGGAACCCGAGCAAGCCCCCAGCGCCGGGCACUGUGGGGGCACAGACCUGCUGAGCCUUCAGGUGUCACCCGGUGUGUCCCCCACUGCCGGUGGCCGCGGAGCAGGAGAUGCGGCGAGGCAAGGCGGGCAGUGGCCGCAGGGUGACACCGCUGCGGGCUCGGCUGUUGGUGAAGUACUGGGGUGCCGGCUGCUGUGCGGAGUUAAAUAAGGGGCUCUGCCCAUGGCACAGCGUGGGUGGGCGAGAGGAAAGCUGCCAAUGGGGGCCGGGGGGGGUGGUACCCCCACCCUGCAGCUGCACGCCCACGCAGGCACCGUGUCACUGACAGGCACCCGUUCCACACGUAGAGUCACACCAUGACACAAGCGCGCCCACGCAGGCACACCAGCUCCCACCGCGCCGGGGCGGGGGCCAGCGCACGGAGCCGUGCCCACACCACCCCUCCUGACGCCACGGGCAUGGGGGGACACACGCAGCCCAGCACAACGCGGCCAUUGGCACGUGGGGGCACACGCGUGGCCGGAGGGUCCUGUCCCUGCCGCUGGCGGUUGUGCUGCGGUUGUGCUUCGGGGGGUCUCACCGCCAUGGGGAGCAGCUGGACACCCACCACACGCACACGAUGUGCACACAAACACGCAUUUAUCCACACACGUACAUAACAAUUCAGCUGCACACGCGUGUGCACACACACGCACACCGUAGCGCACAUGCUCCCCAUUGCCCCCAGCCCCACUCUGGGGGUCCUGGCUUGCUUGGUUCCGUGCUGCCCAUGGGGGAUGUUCCCAGGCGUGGCCGUGCACCCCUGUGACCCAGACAGGCCCAGCACCACCCGCACCAGCCCCACUCAGCCUCCUGGGAGCACAGGUUGCAUCCUGCAUCCCGAUUCCCCCAUCCGAGCCGCCUCCGCACCCUCACCCCGGCCGGGGGACCGAGGGGCGCAGAGGUGGAGGACGGGGAGGAAAAGCCAUGGGGAGCUGGAGGGAUGCGAGGGAAGGGGGAACACACAGACCAACAAGUGAGCGCCGCCAACUUCAGUCUGAGCAACAGGCGGCCGCGGUGGCCCCGCGGGAAGGACGCGGCAGCGGCGGCUCACGAGGCAGCGCAGCCCAGGGCAGCAUCUGCAGUGUCGGCGACGUUAAUUAAAUCGGAGCCUGGCCAGAGACGGCCUAAUUAAUUAAUAACACCUACUUGUGUGGUGCCAAGUGCAAUGCAGCUGCGAAGAGCCGCGCUGCCCCGGGGCUGCCAUGGGCUUGUUUACGGCUUUCGCCCCUCGGCGCCGGGAUGCGACAGCCCACGUCGGCAAGCGGGGGAGCCCCUGGAACCGGGGCACGUCCAUGCCAUCAAGUGCCCCCCUGCACGCACACAUGCACGUGCCCCACCACGUGCACGCGCUGCCCGAGCGCCCUGCCACACGUGCCCACACGUGCCCCCCCCCGCCCCGUGCGGAUGCUCGAGGGCCCACCUGGGAGCUGGUGCUGAUGCCGACGUGACGGGGAGUUGUCAGCUCCCGGAGGUGACGCGGGUGACGUGUGGGGACAGGAGAAAGAGAAAUAAAACCAACGCUCUCCAAGA